rnacentral:rRNA from 1 species
ACGUAGGGUGCGAGCGUUAAUCGGAAUUACUGGGCGUAAAGCGUGCGCAGGCGGUCUGAUAAGUCAGAUGUGAAAUCCCCGAGCUCAACUUGGGAACUGCGUUUGAAACUAUCAAGCUAGAAUAUGUCAGAGGGGGGUAGAAUUCCACGUGUAGCAGUGAAAUGCGUAGAGAUGUGGAGGAAUACCAAUGGCGAAGGCAGCCCCCUGGGAUAAUAUUGACGCUCAUGCACGAAAGCGUGGGGAGCAAACAGGA